rnacentral:rRNA from 1 species
UGAGGAAUUUUCGUCAAUGGGGGAAACCCUGAACGAGCAACGCCGCGUGCAGGAAGAAGGUUUUCGGAUCGUAAACUGCUUUUCUUGGGGAAGAGAACGGACGGUACCCAAGGAAGAAGCCCCGGCUAACUACGUGCCAGCAGCCGCGGUAAUACGUAGGGGGCAAGCGUUGUCCGGAUUUAUUGGGCGUAAAGCGCACGCAGGCGGUCUUUUACGUUUUGAGUGACAGGUGGUGGCUUAACCACCACAGGCCUUGAAAUACGGGAAGACUUGAGGACGAGAGAGGGAUGCGGAAUUCCAGGUGGAGCGGUGAAAUGCGUAGAGAUCUGGAAGAACACCAAAGGCGAAGGCAGCAUUCUGGCUCGGAACUGACGCUGAUGUGCGAAAGCUAGGGGAGCGAA